GCUUUGGUCCCUAGAUGUGUAUCCAGACGGCGUGUCUGCAUAGGACGUCUCCACAAAGCGCACACGCUCCGGCGACCACAGCAGGUCGCUCCGUAGAGAAAGAACAGGAACUUUGAGGAGGAAGCAGCAGACAGUGUGUGCUCAAUGGCCCAGUCGUGUCCAACUCUUUGCGACCCCAGGAACUGUAGCCCACAAGGCUCCUCUGUCCAUGAGAUUUUCCAGGGAAGCUGUUGGCAAUUACAAGCCUUUCCUUGACAAGGUCCUUUUGACACAGCAUGCUGUUGGCAGUCGCCGCCAGGAGGGUUCAGCUGUUUUAGGAACAAGGUGACAGUCAAUUGCUUCGAUUUCCACUGGCUACCACUUUUGUUGUUAAAACUUUCCCAGGACUUUUGGGGGCGGUUAUUUCUUCUUGUUCCAUCACGACAAUUUCUUUUCUCACCAUGGGAGCUGUCGUGUAUAAUUAAGCUGUGUGCUCCAAAAUAAAGUCAGAAGCGGUGACUACAUUACCAUUCGCUGAAUGCCACCAACUCUGUCCCUACGGAAUGCAGAGAAACUUUGUGCAGUGACUUUCAUUUUUUUGCCCUCUUUUAACAAGAACUCAGUUCAUACACUCGUGAAACAUUUCACUUUAGAAACUAGAAGACAGGUUUGAACCACCCUGUCUGUAUCUUGAAAUCCAAGUUUUUCCAACUUAGCACCAUUACCACUUUAAGUUGGACAACUCUUUGUAGUAGAGGGUGUCCUGUGCAUUAUAAGCUGUUCACCAGCAUCCUUAACUCCACCCGCUAGACGCCAAGACACCCAGCUCCCAAGUAGUGACGUUCAAAAAUGUCUCCAGUUAUGUCCAGAUGUCCCCUGGGGGACAAAACUGUCUCCAGUUGAGAAUCAUUGCUCUAAAUGAUCAAGUAUUAAUAUGGCUGUGUUCAGUUUGAUAGAAUAUGUUUCUUUUUUGACACUUUAUUUUCUAAUUUAUUUUUAAUUGGAGGAUAAUUGCUUUACAAUGUCGUGUUGGUUUCUGCCAUACAACAGCAUGAG